rnacentral:rRNA from 1 species
ACUUUACAAGUUUGUUUAUUUUUAGUUAAUUUAAGUUUAACAUUAAAGAUAUUAAUUUUGUUGGGUUGGGGUGACUAUUAUAUAAUAAUAAUUAACUGUAAACUAAAUAAAUAAUUAUAAUUAGAAAUAUGAUCCUUUAUUAAGGAUUAAAAGAUAAAGUU